rnacentral:rRNA from 1 species
GACGAACGCUGGCGGCGUGCUUAACACAUGCAAGUCGAACGAAGUGGCGAACGGGUGAGUAACGCGUAAUCAACCUGCCCUUCAGAGGGGGACAACAGUUGGAAACGACUGCUAAUACCGCAUACUGAAGGAGGGGAUUGCGUUGGGUUAGCUCGUUGGAGGGGUAACGGCCCACCAAGGCGAGGAUCAGUAGGCGGGCUGAGGGGGUGAACGGGCCAAAUGGGACCGAGAAACGGCCCAGACUCCUACGGGAGGCAGCAGUGGGGAAUCUUCGGCAAUGGAGGAAAGGCCGACGGAGCCACGCCGCGUGAGUGAUGACGGGCUUCGGGUUGGAAAGCUCUGUUGAUCGGGAAGCGGUACCGGAAGAGAAAGCCACGGCUAACUACGUGCCAGCAGCCGCGGUAAUAC